CCGCGGGGACACUCCGCGAUGGACGAGCCGAGCCUCCUGCGGCGCCGCGGGCUCCAGAAAGAGCUGAGUCUUCCACGCCGGGGGCGCGGAAUGUUCCUAGCUUGGGAUCCAGCCCAAGCAUAGUUGGUGGCACCUGCCUGUGAUCCCAGCGGCACCCUGGAGGCUGAGAAAGGAAAAUGGGCAGUUCCAAGCCAGCCUGAGCUACAUGAGACCCUGCCUUAAAAAAUAAAUAAAAAUGAAAAAGCCA